UGGAACAAAGGAGCUUGCAUUUGUUUGAACAGACCACUUCCCCGGGCACGCAGGGACGCUGGGUGCCCUUUGUUGCCGGAGAUUCAAUAAGCGGCCGGCAGUGGACAGGCCCAGGGAGCCCGCGGGAUGCAUCCCGGCGUCGCCCAGACUCGCUCGAGUCCAGCGGGGGCCGGACAGCCGCCUUUGCCCUUCGUCCGGGGCUCUCUAUAAUAACCCCACUAAGAAACUCUGGAUCCCGUUACGUCUCAUCCCGUUACGACUGCCGAGGAACCUGACCAGAGAAUGUUGCAUUCCCCUGCUGAAUUUCUCCUGCCAGAAUUGUGAUGCUCCAGUUCCAGUGCUCCCUGACUGAUCCAGUGCUUCCUAAAAUUUAUCGGACUCCUAAUAGCUGCUCCCCUGAGACUCAUUGCUGCAACCACUACUGGUGCUGUUACAGGAACAACUCUUCAUUUUUGAUCCAGAAGCUUCAUCUCUUCAGAACAGGACUAAAUGACUUAGAUGAACCGAGAGCCGAGGCACGAGAAACGGACCCUCCGCGCCUAUUGACUGUGAUCCUGAGGUCUCCUAACCCAUUUUGGCACCCGAGCGGAUGCUUGAGCCAUGCAUUUUGACUGUGAACUGAACUACAACCUCGUGCAGCCCGGGGGGGGAUUUUUUUCCCCUCUCCACCCCAUUUUUCUGAGCGAAAAUGGCGGCAGCGGUAGCAGCCACGCGGUAAGAGCCACCCUCUAAGACCCCUCCACCAGGAGGUAGGACUUUCUUUAGUGACGUAGCCUGUAGGUGGUCCUGGGAGGGGGGGCGUUCCCGGCGCGCCUUCCGCCCAGAGAUGAACCGAGAGCCGCGGCACGAGAAACGGACCCUCCGCGCCUAUUGACUGUGAUCCUGAGGUCUCCUAACCCAUUUUGGCACCAGAGCGGAUGCUUGCAGCCAUCCAUUUUGACUGUGAACUGAGCUAAAAUAUUAGAAACCCAAAAGUGAAGACUUAAAGUCUUCACUCUUAGCAAUGAAGAGAAAUUAUUAGAUGAUGCCUAUUCAGCAGGCCUGAUUGUUGGGGAAAAUUUCCAAUCAAUAAUAGUGAGUUCUGUAUGGAAAUGUGGAAUGUACUCAAUAUAUAGAGAGA